UUUUUGCAAAUUGUUUUAAGAUAUACCCCCGAUGAAUACAUGCAUAAAAAUGUAUUCAUCGGGGGUGUAUCUAUUAAACAGCGAUUUUAAUUUUUUUCUAAC